UGGGGAAUAUUUCACAAUGGGCGCAAGCCUGAUGCAGCCAUGCCGCGUGUGUGAAGAAGGCCUUCGGGUUGUAAAGCACUUUCAGCGGGGAGGAAGGCGAUAAGGUUAAUAACCUCAUCGAUUGACGUUACCCGCAGAAGAAGCACCGGCUAACUCCGUGCCAGCAGCCGCGGUAAUACGGAGGGUGCAAGCGUUAAUCGGAAUUACUGGGCGUAAAGCGCACGCAGGCGGUCUGUCAAGUCGGAUGUGAAAUCCCCGGGCUCAACCUGGGAACUGCAUUCGAAACUGGCAGGCUAGAGUCUUGUAGAGGGGGGUAGAAUUCCAGGUGUAGCGGUGAAAUGCGUAGAGAUCUGGAGGAAUACCGGUGGCGAAGGCGGCCCCCUGGACAAAGACUGACGCUCAGGUGCGAAAGCGUGGGGAGCAAACAGG
rnacentral:rRNA from 1 species